rnacentral:rRNA from 1 species
GAUGAACGCUGGCGGCGUGCCUAAUACAUGCAAGUCGAGCGAACGGACGAGAAGCUUGCUUUUCUGAUGUUAGCGGCGGACGGGUGAGUAACACGUGGAUAACCUACCUAUAAGACUGGGAUAACUUCGGGAAACCGGAGCUAAUACCGGAUAAUAUUUUGAACCGCAUGGUUCAAAAGUGAAAGACGGUCUUGCUGUCACUUAUAGAUGGAUCCGCGCUGCAUUAGCUAGUUGGUAAGGUAACGGCUUACCAAGGCAACGAUGCAUAGCCGACCUGAGAGGGUGAUCGGCCACUCUGGAGCUGGGACACGGUCCAGACUCCUACGGGAGGCAGCAGUAGGGAAUCUUCCGCAAUGGGCGAAAGCCUGACGGAGCAACGCCGCGUGAGUGAUGAAGGUCUGCGGAUCGUAAAACUCUGUUAUUAGGGAAGAACAUAUGUGUAAGUAACUGUGCACAUCUUGACGGUACCUAAUCAGAAAGCCACGGCUAACUACGG